ACAAACUUGGUCAUUUAGAGGAAGUAAAAGUCGUAACAAGGUUUCCGUAGGUGAACCUGCGGAAGGAUCAUUCAUAACAGGCCCAGUAUGGGGGCCCCUUUAAAUUUCCAUAUUCUUCACCUUGUGUGCAAUGUUUUUUAACAUAUUUAAACGCUUAAAAUUUUUUUUAAAUUGUCUGAAAUAAAUAUUGUGAAUUUUUUUUUUUUAAUUCAAAAUACAACUUUCAACAACGGAUCUCUUGGCUCUCGCAUCGAUGAAGAACGCAGC
rnacentral:misc_RNA from 1 species